rnacentral:lncRNA from 7 species
GGCACAGGAAUUAGCCUUUCCUCUUACAACAUGAAUCACACUCUCUAAUCUCAUAUCGUAUUUGUUGCACAACUCUGACCUCCUCCAAUGUAUUUAUUUCUGUAACUCAAUACGAAACCUUCACCUUGCACUGACACAACAAUCAGGUUGCAUAUUCUUCUACUUAAAAGCGAGGAAAUGCAGAAACUGAGGUUAAAAGGAGGAGAGAACUGUGAUAUCACAUAUGCAUGUUGUGGCACCCACUCAGACCCUACAGUCUUCAACUGAAGAGUGCUCCUUUAGGAGAUCACUGUGUUUGAUGUGCAUAAGGACUUCAGAAGUGAUGAUGCAUUCCACUGCCCAAACAAGUCAAGGCAAUACGGUGUACUGAAGCCCGCUGCCUGCUUUUACUCCUGCACCAAAAAUAAUCCAUGACAAAUCCACAAUGAUUUAUUGCUAGAUGAUAUUAGAGGUCUUUCCCAACCUUAAUGAUUCAGCAGUCUUAUGGUUCCUUCCCAUUUUGAGACAUCAGUUCUCACCAGCAUGUGAGGUUGUCCCCUGGUGCAAGUGGGUGAAUUACUGAGUUGCAUCUGUGCAUGUGCCAACCCCAUCAUCCUUACACAUUAGAACACCAUAUUAAACCUACUCCACCAUCAGGAAGAGGUGGAUUUUUAACAUCUAAAGCCCAAACAGAUGGUAAAUUUCUACUUCAGGUUUUGUGGCCAGAAUCUAAAGGCUCAGAUGCAUCUUUCACAAACACCAUUUCAAGGCUUUCUUCUUCAAACCUUUAUUUUCUUCUUAUUGCUUUGACACCAACAGAUUCCCCCUGGAAACGCAGGAAUUGUGCUUGCAAUUGAUACAGCCCCAGCUUUCUCAAGACCUAAAGCCUGGCACUGAAGAGAACAAUUGUUUGUCUCCUUUUUCUUUGGAUAGACAGAAUUUGCUUUGGCAGUGUUCCUCAGCAUUGGUGGGCAGAAAGCAUCUAGGACACUCUUCUAAAUUGUCCUCUUUUUAAUUUGGUUGUUCUUAUGCUUAUUUCUUAAUUCCAAGAAAACCUUUGCAAGCCAGAUUGGAAGACCUUUCUCAAGGUGCCUUUCAGCUCUGUAUUGUAUUGCUUUGGAUAGGGGGAAAGGAAAAAAAAAAAAAGGAUGUCACUGAUUUUUGGGAGGAGUGAAAGGGAAAAAAAAAAAACAGAACAUGUGAGGAAUGAGGGUUGUUGUCCCCGCAUGGCUCCAGCAAAGUCUACCCAGCACUGGGAGCAAAGAGUAAACUCUCAUGUCACCCUCCACGUUGCCAUUAGGAUUCACAAAUCAUUUUCCACCUUUAAGGCAGAUUUCUUCACCACCCAGGAGUUCAGGAGGUAUGGUUGUGCCACAGGGAGCUUCUUGCAAGGCAGGAGCAGCAGUCCCAAGCUUAUUAUGGGAUGUGCCUGCAGAGUCUUCAUAGGGUAUAUUGGUAUUUUAAACUCAGCAGUGACAUUCAGGCCUAUCCAUUGGCCUUACGUGUAUCUGAAUAAUAAAGUCACAGAGAAACAUACAGUUUCACUCAGAAAAACACGCUUUUUCUGUCUGGUUUUCUCUUCCUGACAUCCUUUGCUGCUAUCUCUUGCUCUUUGAAGGACAGCAGUUUAUUUAUGAAUAAAAGUCACUGUUUUCUAUCUGAGUACGUUUUCAACUCCAUUCUUUAGUAAAUUUUGCUGGAAAAGCAACAGAAAUGGAGCUGGUGCAUAGUUCUGGGAUGCAGAGGGCAGAUUCUCCUCUACAGUGCUCCUCCAUUUCAGAGUUACAUGGUGUCUAAUGAGUACAGGAUGCUAAAAAUGCAAGAGAAGCUUUAAGAGCAGACACUGAAGUGUUGCAUUGGCUGCCCAUUAUGACAGCACCAAGAGUGUAAAGGGCAGCAUCCUAUCUUUGGCUCUAUCAUUGUCUUUGAGUUAGAAGUCACAUAGAGGGCUCUGAAGAGUGGUGAAACCCUUGGGAAGGCUGGGAGGGUUCUGGCAGGGCAAAGUUUAAGCUCUCUUCCAGGUAACACUCCUAUCUUCCUCCUCUUCAUUAGGCAAACCAGAGCAAACUCCAGGUUUCCCCCAGCUUCUCCCAUUCAUAAAUAUAGCUUGUAUUUUUUAAUCCUGCAGACUCUGAGCCUCUCCAUCCUUGCGUCAACCUGAGAACACGUGGACCCUGCAAGCAGCAUCUGGAUGAGACUGGCUUUAAAUGUGUUGAUACUGAAGAACAGAGACAACUUCUGCGCUGGGACCU